GACGAACGCUGGCGGCGUGCUUAACACAUGCAAGUCGAACGGUAAGGCUCCUUCGGGAGUACACGAGUGGCGAACGGGUGAGUAACACGUGGGCAACCUGCCCUUGACUUUGGGAUACCAGCUGGAAACAGCUGCUAAUACCGGAUACGACCUCUUGACGCAUGUUUGGGGGUGGAAAGCUCCGGCGGUCAGGGAUGGGCUCGCGGCCUAUCAGCUUGUUGGUGAGGUCAUGGCUCACCAAGGCUUCGACGGGUAGCCGGCCUGAGAGGGCGAACGGCCACACUGGGACUGAGAUACGGCCCAGACUCCUACGGGAGGCAGCAGUGGGGAAUAUUGCACAAUGGGCGCAAGCCUGAUGCAGCAACGCCGCGUGCGGGAUGACGGCCUUCGGGUUGUAAACCGCUUUCAGUAGGGACGAAGCUAACGUGACGGUACCUACAGAAGAAGGACCGGCUAACUACGUGCCAGCCGCCGCCGUAAGAC
rnacentral:rRNA from 1 species